ACAAGUCGUAACAAGGUUUCCGUAGGUGAACCUGCGGAAGGAUCAUAGUAAUCGUCUUUGACGUUCGCUUUUCCGUCGUCCUCGGGACAUUAAGGUGCUCUGGUCGAGGAUAAACGACCCCUCUGACCGAGGUCAAACCCGUCGCUCUGUGUUACCUCUAAAAAAUUUUUUCCGAGGCACACCUUAAAGAUCGUUCCGCAUUGUGAGUCUAACACCAGUUGUAUAAACUUUUUACAACCGGUAGCGCUGGAUCCCUUGGCACGUCAUUCGAUGAAGACCGUUGCAAAUUGCGAUAAAGUGAUGUGAUGCGCAAGUCCACCACUUAUACGUGAAUCAUCGAGUUGUUGAACGCAUUGCACCGCGCCCUAAUCCGGCUGCGGUAUGCCCCUUUGAGCGUCAUUGUAUUCCUUCGGGAGUCCUUUUACAAGGACCCGAGUUCGGAGUCCUCGGUCCCCUGUGGAUCGUGUUCUCUCAGAUSCSUCGCACCRAUCGCCUGAUGGGUCCUCUAAUGCCUAAGCGUGGAGUUCCUUCAGAGUCCGAGAGGUGCUUGACCGAGUCUUGAGCUCGUGUCACCAAGUCUGCCUAACAGCAGUACUACAACGCAUGACCUCAUUGGGGUAGGACAACCCGCUAGACUUAAGCAUAUUAAUCAGCGGAGGAAAAGAAACUAACCAGGAUUCCCUCAGUAACUGCGAGUGAAGCGGGAUCGGC
rnacentral:rRNA from 1 species